AUUAUCUCUCCCCUUGUCUUCUCUCUCUCUCUCUCUCUCUCUCUCUCUCUCUCCGAUGGCGGAAGAGAUUUAGCUGGCUGGUUGAAUAGAGAGGAGAAAAAGAUUUCACUUCUAGUGUUCGAUCCCCGUAACCAGAGUCUCCAAACCCGAGUUACUAUUCCCUCAAUCCCAACCCCAAAAUCUCUAUUUGCCUCCGUCGUCUUCUUCUCUCAAAUCCACGGUGGCUUGUUCAAGUGCCGGAGCUAUUCGGAGAAGCAUGGCUACGAAGGGGGAUAAAAGCGAACACGGAGGAUAGGAACUUGGGUGAUCACGCCGAAUCCGUACUGGACAACGGUUGAGUAAAAUUAGCCAGCUGAGGAAGCUAUGUUUAGAAAUUCCUCCCUAGAUCCAAAUUGCUCCUCUCCAAGGUACCAAAGGUUUCAGAGUUCUAAUGUGAUAUAACAAUUGACCCGUAUGAUCAAACUUUUUUUCUUUUCAGUUAAAUCUAUUUUCACUAAUCUUCACAAA